UAGCKGAGGAAAAGAAACUAACAAGGAUUCCCCUAGUAACGGCGAGUGAAGCGGGAAGAGCUCAAAUUUGAAAUCUGGUGGCCUCAGGUCAUCCGAGUUGUAAUCUAUAGAAGUGUUUUCCGUGCUGGCUCAUGUACAAGUCCCUUGGAACAGGGCGUCAUAGAGGGUGAGAAUCCCGUCCUUGACAUGAACUACCAGUGCUCUGUGAUACAUUUUCAACGAGUCGAGUUGUUUGGGAAUGCAGCUCAAAAUGGGUGGUAAAUUCCAUCUAAAGCUAAAUAUUGGCGAGAGACCGAUAGCGAACAAGUACCGUGAGGGAAAGAUGAAAAGCACUUUGGAAAGAGAGUUAAACAGUAUGUGAAAUUGUUAAAAGGGAAACGAUUGAAGUCAGUCGUGCUCUUUGGAUUCAGCCGGUUCUGCCGGUGUACUUCCUUUGAGUGGGGUCAACAUCAGUUUUGAUCGCUGGAUAAAGGCUGGAGGAACGUAGCACCCCCGGGUGAACUUAUAGCCUCCUGUCACAUACAGUGGUUGGGACUGAGGAACGCAGCACGCCUUUAUGGCCAGGAUCCGUCCAUGUACGUGCUUAGGAUGUUGACAUAAUGGCUUUAAACGACCCGUCUUGAAC
rnacentral:rRNA from 1 species